rnacentral:rRNA from 1 species
UUGGAGGGCAAGUCUGGUGCCAGCAGCCGCGGUAAUUCCAGCUCCAAUAGCGUAUAUUAAAGUCGUUGCAGUUAAAAAGCUCGUAGUUGAAUUUCGAGAUCGGCUUACUGGUCGUGCUUUUGUACGUACUGGUAUAAUCGGUUUCUCCUUUCUGACGAACUUUAAUGCCAUUAAUUUGGUGUUUUAGGGAAUCAGGACUGUUACUUUGAAAAAAUUAGAGUGUUUAAAGCAGGC